rnacentral:lncRNA from 10 species
CUGUGGAUCAGCUACGAGACUGAGAGAAAGGAAUGAAAGGAUGGAAGAAUUACAAGAUCAGGCACUGCUGUCUGUCUGUUCCACGGAUGUAACCACAGCACACGCGUGGCUCACGAUGGAUAUCUGAGAGCCAGCGAACUUUCUUUACCUCCUAGUAUCAUUUCAUGAAAAUUAGUAGCACCUGCACAAUGGGGCCUUGGAGACAGGAAUAAAAGGAAAAAUCUGGAAUGGAAUCACAUGACGCAACAGGCUAUGAAGACUCCCUGCCCGGCUGCUAUAUGUCUGGUAAACAGAAUAAAUAGUACUUGAGCAUCCCUGACUCUGAG